CCUACGGGGGGCAGCAGUGGGGAAUAUUGCGCAAUGGGCGAAAGCCUGACGCAGCGCCGCCGCGUGAGGGAGGAAGGUCUUCGGAUCGUAAACCUCUGUCAGCAGGGAAGAACGGUCACUGUGCUAAUCAGCAGUGAAUUGACGGUACCUGCAAAGGAAGCACCGGCUAACUCCGUGCCAGUAGCCGCGGUAAUACGGAGGGUGCGAGCGUUAAUCGGAAUUACUGGGCGUAAAGCGCUCGUAGGCGGUAUGGGAAGUCAAGGGUGAAAUCCCCGCGCUCAUCGUGGGAACUGCCUUUGAAACUGGCAAACUGGAGUGUGUGAGAGGAGAGUGGAAUUCCAGGGGAAGGAGUGAAAUCCGUAGAUAUCGGGAGGAAAAUCAGUGGCGAAGGCGACUAUCUGGCACAUAACUGACGCUGAGGAGCGAAAGCGUGGGUAGCAAACAGGAUUAGAUACCCGUGUAGUC
rnacentral:rRNA from 1 species